rnacentral:rRNA from 1 species
GGGCCCGCACAAGCAGCGGAGCGUGUGGUUUAAUUCGAGGCAACACGAAGAACCUUACCUGGGCUUGACAUGCACGUAGUAGUGAAGCGAAAGCGGAUCGAUCCUUCGGAAGCGUGCACAGGUGCUGCAUGGCUGUCGUCAGCUCGUGCCGUGAGGUGUUCGGUUAAGUCCGGUAACGAGCGCAACCCUUGCUGUUAGUUACAAGUGUCUAACAGGACUGCCGGUUUAAUGCCGGAGGAAGGUGGGGAUGACGUCAAGUCAGCAUGGCCUCUAUGUCCAGGGCUACACACACGCUACAAUGGCCGGUACAAUGGGUUGCCAAGCCGCGAGGCGGAGCUAAUCCUUAAAGCAGGCCUCAGUUCAGAUUGCAGUCUGCAACCCGACUGCAUGAAGCCGGAGUUGCUAGUAACCGCAGGUCAGCAAUACUGCGGUGAAUACGUUCCCGGGUCUUGUACACACCGCCCGU